UGAGCUGCAAAAUGGGGUGGGAUAAUGG
rnacentral:piRNA from 1 species